ensembl:snRNA U6 U6 spliceosomal RNA
GUGCUCGCUUCAGCAGCACAUAUACUAAAAUUGGAAUGAUACAGAGAAGAUUAGCAUGGCCCUUGUGCGAGGACGACAUGGAAAUUUGUAAAGCACUCUGUAUUUAA